rnacentral:rRNA from 1 species
GAUGAACGCUGGCGGCGUGCCUAAUACAUGCAAGUCGAGCGAACGGACGAGAAGCUUGCUUCUCUGAUGUUAGCGGCGGACGGGUGAGUAACACGUGGAUAACCUACCUAUAAGACUGGGAUAACUUCGGGAAACCGGAGCUAAUACCGGAUAAUAUUUUGAACCGCAUGGUUCAAAAGUGAAAGACGGUCUUGCUGUCACUUAUAGAUGGAUCCGCGCUGCAUUAGCUAGUUGGUAAGGUAACGGCUUACCAAGGCAACGAUGCAUAGCCGACCUGAGAGGGUGAUCGGCCACACUGGAACUGAGACACGGUCCAGACUCCUACGGGAGGCAGCAGUAGGGAAUCUUCCGCAAUGGGCGAAAGCCUGACGGAGCAACGCCGCGUGAGUGAUGAAGGUCUUCGGAUCGUAAAACUCUGUUAUUAGGGAAGAACAUAUGUGUAAGUAACUGUGCACAUCUUGACGGUACCUAAUCAGAAAGCCACGGCUAACUACGUGCCAGCAGCCGCGGUAAUAUGUAGGUGGCAAGCGUUAUCCGGAAUUAUUGGGCGUAAAGCGCGCGUAGGCGGUUUUUUAAAUCUGAUGUGAAAGCCCACGGCUCAACCGUGGAGGGUCAUUGGAAACUGGAAAACUUGAGUGCAGAAAAGGAAAGUGGAAUUCCAUGUGUAGCGGUGAAAUGCGCAGAGAUAUGGAGGAACACCAGUGGCGAAGGCGACUUUCUGGUCUGUAACUGACGCUGAUGUGCGAAAGCGUGGGGAUCAAACAGGAUUAGAUACCCUGGUAGUCCACGCCGUAAACGAUGAGUGCUAAGUGUUAGGGGGUUUCCGCCCCUUAGUGCUGCAGCUAACGCAUUAAGCACUUCCGCCUGGGGAGUACGACCGCAAGGUUGAAACUCAAAGGAAUUGACGGGGACCCGCACAAGCGGUGGAGCAUGUGGUUUAAUUCGAAGCAACGCGAAGAACCUUACCAAAUCUUGACAUCCUUUGACAACUCUAGAGAUAGAGCUUUCCCCUUCGGGGGACAAAGUGACAGGUGGUGCAUGGUUGUCGUCAGCUCGUGUCGUGAGAUGUUGGGUUAAGUCCCGCAACGAGCGCAACCCUUAAGCUUAGUUGCCAUCAUUAAGUUGGGCACUCUAAGUUGACUGCCGGUGACAAACCGGAGGAAGGUGGGGAUGACGUCAAAUCAUCAUGCCCCUUAUGAUUUGGGCUACACACGUGCUACAAUGGACAAUACAAAGGGCAGCGAAACCGUGAGGUCAAGCAAAUCCCAUAAAGUUGUUCUCAGUUCGGAUUGUAGUCUGCAACUCGACUACAUGAAGCUGGAAUCGCUAGUAAUCGUAGAUCAGCAUGCUACGGUGAAUACGUUCCCGGGUCU